rnacentral:rRNA from 1 species
UACAGAGGUGGCAAGCGUUGUUCGGAAUUACUGGGCGUAAAGGGCGCGUAGGCGGCUUUUUAAGUCAGACGUGAAAUCCCCCGGCUUAACCUGGGAACUGCGUCUGAUACUGGGAAGCUUGAGUUCGGGAGAGGGAUGUAGAAUUCCAGGUGUAGCGGUGAAAUGCGUAGAUAUCUGGAGGAAUACCGGUGGCGAAGGCGGGUUGCUGGGCUGACACUGACGCUGAGGCGCGAAAGCUAGGGGAGCGAAGCGGG